rnacentral:rRNA from 1 species
UACGUAGGCAGCGAGCGUUGUUCGGAGUUACUGAGCGUAAAGGGUGUGUAGGCGGUUGUUUAAGUUUGGUGUGAAAUCUCCCGGCUCAACUGGGAGGGUGCGCCGAAUACUGAAUGACUUCGAGUGCGGGAGAGGAAAGUGGAAUUCCUGGUGUAGCGGUGAAAUGCGUAGAUAUCAGGAGGAACACCGGUGGUGUAGACGGCUUUCUGGACCGUAACUGACGCUGAGACACGAAAGCGUGGGUAGCAAACAGG